CAUGAACAAAUAAUAUUUUUUAAAAACUAAAGAGUCAAAAUUUAUGACCAAACGGGAAUCUAAUGUAUUGUCAUGCAUGACACACACACGAGCAUACAAAGUAAGUUGUCACGCAUUUUCAAAUUAAGAAAGCAGGAAGAUUGAAAUUUCAUUAAAUUAAAAUCAACAAGAAAAAAAUUCUAGCUGGAAUCCAAAAAUUCAGCUUUAUUGGUACAACAAAAAUGUCAAAUCGGUAUAUAAAGAUAACAAAAAAAAAAAGUAAAAGAAUAACAUAAAAUCAAUACUAUACUAUUUAAUUCAACAAUCUAGCAAAGGCAAGUGACAAGAAAGUGACUGGCAAAGCUGCAAGAACCAAAGAUGGAGCUGAGCCACUUGGUGGUGGUGGUGAAGUGACCGGAGAAUCACCCGAGGGGGCGGAUGGGACGGUGGAGCCAGAUGGCGUGGCGGCGAUGGAAGGCGUGGGGGCGGCGGCGCUGGUGCCGGUGACUUUGAUAGCUAGCUUUUGACCUAAUGAGCAGUGGCUAGGGAAAGUGCACAUGUAGUAAUUUUCACCAGAAUUUGUAAGUGUGAUCCUAGCAGGACCAGUGUUAAUUGUGUUAAUAGUAGAAGUAGUGUUGCAUGAAUCAUAAGCUGCCUUACUAACCAUUGCAACAUUGUGCCUCCCAUUGACAAAAUUGAAAACUGCAUUGAAAAAUAUAAGAAAGGUUAGAAUGUCAGAUCAACAACUAUAAAUAUAGUAAUAGGUAUUUUCAUAAAGAACUACAGUUUAUAGCCUAAUUACCAUACGUAACUGUAGUUUGCUUAAUUGUCAUUCGUAACUAUUGUUCAAUUGUUACCGGCUUAUAUCAUUUGUAUUCAUUCGUUAUCAACACAUAUAAUACACUGAAAUACAGUGAUACAUACAGUUGUUGUAUUAUUGUAUGUGUGACUCCAUACACUGCAUUUACCAUUGUGAUUUUGCUGCAAAAUACAAUUGUAGCUGCAAGUUGUAAUUAUUUCAAAGUGUAUUUAUGUAUGGUAAAUACAGUAGAUAAGUUAGUUACACCAUGUAAUUUUCAUAGAAAUGAGAGUAUUUCAAGAUAAAUGUGAUACAAAAUAUUACUCCUAUUUGAAUUAUAAGCACUAUUGGCACCUCAAAUGUUGGGAGGUUUUAAUGCACGAUGGUAAGUAUAAUCGGGUCAUUUAUAAGGUAAUUAUAGAUAAAUAUUAUGAUAAAUAUUAAUUGAUAACCUGAUAAAAAAUGGUAAACGAAUUCGGGAUAAGUUUUAGUGCUUACCAAGAGUAUCUCCAACUUUGAAGGAUUUGCCAUUAGCCCAAGUUUGAUAAGCAUUUGGGCCACCAGUAGUAGGAACAUUCCAGCCCAUGUUGCCUCCAACAGUAUAAGUUUGGGCUGCAACUGUAGGUGAGGGUGCUGCCGCUGAUGGGGCGGGAGCUGUUGAUGGGUUCGCUGAAGGAGCGGUCACUGGAGUGGCAGUGGGAGGAGUGGUGGGCCUGGCGGCAGCUGGCUGAGGAGCCGGAGAGGCGGAGCCGGCGACAUUGAUAGCCAAUUUCUGGCCCAAUGUACAAUGGCUUGGCAAGGUGCAAAGGUAGUAAUGUGAUCCAGCAGAUCUCAAUGUAAUAUUUGUUGGCCCAUUAGUGGAUAUAGAAAUUGGGUUUGCGGUAUUGCAUGAAUCAAAAGCUGCCUUUGACACCUCAGCCACACUAUGCAAUCCGGUUGUAAAGUUAAAAACUGCAUAAAGAAAAAAAUGAUUCCAAAUAAAUUUAUUAGUUACUAAAAGUUAUUAAAACCACGAAAAUUUAUGAUUUUGAAAGUCUUGUAAUCCACCGUGAUGAAAGGUCACUUCACUAGACAUGGAGGUGAAUUUAGAGCGGGCUUUAUGAUUUUCUGACUCGAACAAAGGAAAAAAAACACAUUUCUAAUGCAUACAUAUAACAACAUAGGACUCAUUCUGAAUUCAACAACAACAAUAAUAAAUAAUCUCACAAAGAUGAGUUUAGGAAGGGUUGUUUCGAUAGACUCAGACGCAACUAAGGAUGACAAGAAGCAUAAAUAAUACUUCCUUCGCUUCAAUUUAUGUGAAUUUUUUUUUUUGUAGUUCGUAUCAAAAAGAAUAAUUUCUUUCCUUAUUUGGAAAAAAUUAUCUUUAUGUAAUUAUUUAUAUGUAUUUCAUUUUACACCACAAGUUCAAAAAUCUUCUCUCUAUUCUUAAACUUCGUAUCUAGUCAAACGAGUUCACUUUACAUAUAAUUCUUUUCUAGCAAAUAAUUAAAUCUAUCUACAUGUUCUUUUAAAAUUAUUUAACUAAUAUAUAUAAAAGUCGAAUGGAAUGUAGCGUGUCAUGAUUUUGUACGUAUUUGCCACUAGAUAUGGACACGAGGAGAGAAAAUAAUUGACUAUAAAGCAAUACAAGUGGGAAGGAAUCUAGGUAAUAAAAAAGCAAAAAGUGUAUCACACAUUACCACUUUGUUAGACUAAACUAAACAUAAUUAACAAAAAAGUAACAUAAGUGGAAGAAAGAUUAAUCUAGAGCAAAGAAUGGGUCAAUUAGUUGUGAUAAUUUAAUUACUAACCAAGAAUGUCCCCGACGGCGAAGGUUUUCCGGGAAGUCCAGGUGGUAUAAGCGGCGGCGCCACCGUUAGGAACGGUCCAAGCCAAAGCAUCACCAACUACAUGAGUCUGUUGUGCCAUUGUAACAUGUAAUAAAGCAGCUGCAAAUAUUGCAAAAGUAGCCAAAUUCAGCUUUCUGGCCAUUUUUGCUAU
rnacentral:lncRNA from 1 species